GGGAAUGUGGCUAAGUGGUAGAGUGCUUGCCUUGCAUGCAUGAGGCCCUGGGUUCGAUUCCUCAGCACCA
rnacentral:tRNA from 1 species